CGACCGGCGCACGGGUGAGUAACACGUAUGAAACCUGCCCGUAGCAGGGGGAUAAGCGGAAGAAAUUCCGUCUAAUACCGCGUAACAACCCAUGGAGGCAUCUCUGUGGGUUUAAAGGAAGCGAUUCCGGCUACGGAUGGUCAUGCGUCGCAUUAGCUUGUUGGCGGGGUAACGGCCCACCAAGGCGACGAUUGGUAGCCGGACUGAGAGGUUGAACGGCCACAUUGGGACUGAGACACGGCCCAGACUCCUACGGGAGGCAGCAG
rnacentral:rRNA from 1 species